rnacentral:tRNA from 1 species
GGCCGCGUGGCGCAAUUUAGAACCCGUCGGUCUACGAACCGAAGAUUGCAGGUUCGAGUCCUCCCGUGGUCG